rnacentral:rRNA from 1 species
GACGAACGCUGGCGGCGUGCUUAACACAUGCAAGUCGAACGGUGAUCCCAGGAGCUUGCUUCUGGGUGAGCAGUGGCGAACGGGUGAGUAACACGUGAGUAACCUGCCCCUGACUCUGGAAUAAGCGCUGGAAACGGAGUCUAAUACCGGAUAGGAGACGCAACCGCAUGGUUAGUGUCUGGAAAGUUUUUCGGUCUGGGAUGGACUCGCGGCCUAUCAGCUUGUUGGUGAUGUAAUGGCUCACAAAGGCGAUGACGGGGAGCCGGUCUGAGAGGGCGAUCGGCCACACUGGGACUGAGACACGGCCCAGACUCCUACGGGAGGCAGCAGUGGGGAAUAUUGCACAAUGGGCGAAAGCCUGAUGCAGCGACGCCGCGUGAGGGAUGACGGCCUUCGGGUUGUAAACCUCUUUCAGCAGGGAAGAAGCGCAAGUGACGGUACCUGCAGAAGAAGCACCGGCUAACUACGUGCCAGCCGCCGCUGUAA